AAUUUUGGCGAACGAAAGGGGAAGAGCUCAUUGCNNNNNNNNNNNNUUNGAGWCGUCGKWAAUGUGKCGUAUGGGWGGCGGAUCUUCCGAACGCGAUCGGAGGUACAAGUCCCCAUGAGAGGGGUAUGUAACCCGUAGACGGUGCUAGGCCCGUGCCGCCUUCGAUCCGCGUGCGGAGUUGCCGUCUUCCCGGGAGUCGGGUUGCUUGGGAGUGCAGCCCAAAGUGGGUGGUAAACUCCACCUAAAGCUAAAUACUGCCGAGAGACCGAUAGCGAACAAGUACCGUGAGGGAAAGUUGAAAAGCACUUUGAAGAGAGAGUUCAAGAGUACGUGAAACCGUUCAGAGGUAAACGGGUGGGACCUCGAAGUCCGAGACGGCGGUGGAUUCAGUCCAGGCCCUCUUACCCCCGAGUCUCGGUGGCCCUUUGAGAGGGAAGGGGCUUGGGGUCGGAGCUAGGGGGCCUUGGCGCACUUCCACGCCCCGUCCAGAAGGACGUUGCGACCGGUUGGGUGGCCGUCGAGAGGCAGGCAGGAAAGGUGGCCUCCUCGAUCGCCUAGGCAGUCGAGAGGUGUUAUAGUCCGUCGGGGCCCGAGGGGCCGCCCGACCGGGGUUUUUUAUGGCGUUCCCUUCCAUCGGGAAGCGGCCCUUCUUUCGAGCAGGCUUACCUUGGCGUCCGGGCAGCAAUGGCCAACGCGAAGGGUGGAAUGCCGCGGAGGCAAGGGCUCGUGGGGAGCGGAAGGUCGCGACGAGUAGGUCGGUAACCCACCCGACCCGUCUUGAAACACGGACCAAGGAGUCUAACGCGUGUGCGAGUUCCCGGGACUUGAACAGGCCCGUGGGCGCAAUGAAGGUGAAGGGCCCUCGGCCCUAGUUGGGAUCCCCGCUCUGCGGGGCGCACCAACGGCCCGCCUGAAGUCGUGCUCGGCUUGGCGGAGCUAGAGCAUACGCUCUGGGACCCGAAAGNUGGUGAACUAUGCCUGGGCAGGACGAAGCCAGAGGANNCUNNNNNGGAGGUCCGCAGCGAUUCUGACGUGCAAAUCGAUCGACAGACCUU
rnacentral:rRNA from 1 species